AACGUGCAUCUUUCGAGCACCAUAUAUAAGAUUAAGAACUACUUAUGGCAUCAUGUUAUUGGUACAUUUUACUAUUAAUAAGACCUAUAUUUAUUUUGAGUUAGUAAAUAUAAGAGUAAUUUGCGGCAUAAAUACCUAAGUUUUAUGCCGAGUAGCAGAUAAAUACCUAAGUCCUAUUUUUUGGCGAUGAAAAUACCUUCCGUCACUACUCUGGAACUUCCGUAGGUACCUCGUCGUUAACUGACAGGUCGACAUCUACGUGUCAGUCACUAAUAGGUCCAUGUCUUUUAAUUUUUAUUUAUUAUUUAAGAAAUUCAUUGAAAUCUGAAAUUUAUUUUAAAAAAUUAAUAUUAAAAUAACUUAAUUAAAAAAGAAAACCCUAACAUCUCUUCCCAACAUAACUCCUCCCACGCCCUUUCUUGUUCACAUUCUCUCUCUUCCAUUCUCCUUCUUCUCAGGCAAGCUGCAGUGCAGCCUCUUUCCCUCGUUGCCGGCCGAUGGAGUUCUCUCGGCGUCAAUAGUCCCAAGCUCAACAUCAUCUCUCUCUCAUCGGUUUCAAUGGUGGGCCACAAUCUCUCUCUCGUCGGUCUCAAUGGUGGACCACAAUCUCUCUCUCGUCGGUUUCAAUGGUGGACUACAAUCUCUCUCGUCGGUUUCAAUGGUGGACCACAAAGCUAUUCCUUGAUCCACCGUCACCAUGAAGCUCGAGUUCCCUCUGCUCAAUUUCUCCCUCUCUUGUCUCCUUUCCGGAUUCAAUGGCGGAAUCGCCAUCCCCAAGCUCCUCUUGCGAGAAGACGAGAUCUACCACAAAAAGACCAGAUUUGGAUAUGGGUUUGGCUAAAUAGAAGAUUAUAGAGGAGAAAUCUGAAAUGAGGAGAAGACCAUACUGUAUUUUUUUUUGGUUUCAAUGAGG